CCCUCAGUUCAGGAUCCUGAGUACGGCGGGACACGUGAAACCCCGUUGGAAGCUGCGAGGACCAUCUCGCAAGGCUAAAUACUACCUAGUGACCGAUAGUGAACCAGUACCGUGAGGGAAAGGUGAAAAGCACCCCGGAAGGGGAGUGAAAUAGUUCCUGAAACCAUGUGCCUACAAGCUGUCGGAGCCCGUUAAUGGGUGACGGCGUGCCUCUUGCAGAAUGAACCGGCGAGUUAUGAUUGCAUGCAAGGUUAAGGUGGAAAAACCGGAGCCGUAGCGAAAGCGAGUCUUAAAUGGGCGUAAGAAGUAUGUAGUUAUAGACCCGAAACCAGGUGACCUACCCAUGUCCAGGUUGAAGGUGCGGUAAAGCGCACUGGAGGACCGAACCCGUGUCAGUUGAAAAUGGCUGGGAUGAGGUGUGGGUAGCGGUGAAAUUCCAAACGAACUUGGAGAUAGCUGGUUCUCUCCGAAAUCUCUUUAGGGGGAGCCUUGAGGUAAAGAAUCGUGGAGGUAGAGCUACUGUUUGGACAAGGGGCCCGUCAUGGGUUACCAACUUCAGAUAAACUCCGAAUGCCAUCGAUUUAUACUCAGGAGUCAGACGAUGAGUGAUAAGAUCCACCGUCGAAAGGGGAACAGCCCAGAUCACCAGUUAAGGUCCCUAAAUAUAUGCUAAGUGGAAAAGGAUGUGGAGUUGCAUAGACAACUAGGAUGUUGGCUCAGAAGCAGCCACCAUUUAAAGAGUGCGUAAUAGCUCACUAGUCGAGUGAUCCUGCGCCGAAAAUGUACCGGGGCUAAGCAUAUUACCGAAACUGUGGAUGUGCACUUUGUGCACGUGAUAGGAGAGCGUUCUAAGGGCGGCGAAGUCAGACCGUGAGGACUGGUGGAGCGCUUAGAAGUGAGAAUGCCGGUAUGAGUAGCGAAAGACAGGUGAGAAUCCUGUCCACCGAAUGACUAAGGUUUCCUGGGGAAGGCUCGUCCUCCCAGGGUAAGUCGGGACCUAAGCUGAGGCCGAAAGGCGUAGGCGAUGGAUAACAGGUUGAGAUUCCUGUACCAGUUAACUGCGUUUGAAUGAUGGAGGGACGCAGGAGGCUAAGCGAUCCGCACGAUUGGAAGAGUGCGGUCAAGCAGCGAGUCAGGAGUUGAGUCAAAUGCUUAACUUCGGGUUGACAAGCUGUGAUGAGGAGUGAACUUUUAGUAACGAAGUCGCUGACGUCACACUGCCGAGAAAAGCUUCUAGUGAG
rnacentral:ncRNA from 1 species